CGGACGGGUGAGUAACGCGUGGAUAACCUGCCGUAUACUGGGGGAUAACACUUAGAAAUAGGUGCUAAUACCGCAUAAGCGCACAGUCUCGCAUGAGACGGUGUGAAAACUCCGGUGGUAUACGAUGGAUCCGCGUCUGAUUAGCUUGUUGGCGGGGUAACAGCCCACCAAGGCGACGAUCAGUAGCCGGCCUGAGAGGGUGAACGGCCACAUUGGGACUGAGACACGGCCCAAACUCCUACGGGAGGCAGCAG
rnacentral:rRNA from 1 species